rnacentral:lncRNA from 10 species
AUAGGAGCUGACUGAGUUGGCUUGGCUGUACAUAGGAGGAAGACCCUGAUCCCUGGUGCUCAACACAGAAAUGCUUCAAUGAUACCCUGAGAUUGUUUUACCUUGCAACACUCUCUGGAAAAUUGCUGCUCCAGGAAUGCGAUGAAAAGAUCUGUAAGAGAGCACAGCCCCUGUUGAUUGACUUGUCUUGGUCAAACCAGAGCUUCUGGCUGGGAUACUGGUAUCUUGAGUGAGUCACAGCAGGAGAUACGUGCUGGAGCUGAAGAGGUUGGAGAGGCAGCAGAAAAGGUAGGAGACAGCAAGAGAAGGAGAGCAGCCUACAGAUGAGAAGACAAGUAAUUUACCCUAAAGUUCUAGGACUGCUGUUGGUCAAAGGAAAAAUCCUUCUGAGAGAUUUUGAUUUUAGGUUUUGAUUCUACUUCUGUUUCUAUGAAUGCUAGAGAGAAUUUCCUUUUCCUGAUGCUCCUAUUAAAUGGAUUUUCAGACCAUCUGAACUUUUGUCACUUGGCUGUAUCACCUCAUUAUAAGCCAUGUGUAGGGAAACGACUAAAUUAACAAGAAUCUGAAGUAAAGGCAGAAGAGGAAAAUGAGAACGCAUUUACAACCAAGUGACCCCACCU